GGUUAAGCGACUAAGCGUACACGGUGGAUGCCCUGGCAGUCAGAGGCGAUGAAGGACGUGCUAAUCUGCGAUAAGCGCCGGUAAGGUGAUAUGAACCGUUAUAACCGGCGAUUUCCGAAUGGGGAAACCCAGUGCGACUCGUCACACUA
rnacentral:rRNA from 1 species